ensembl:rRNA 5S_rRNA 5S ribosomal RNA
GUCUACGGCCAUACCACCCUGAACGUGCCCGAUCUCGUCUGAUCUCAGAAGCUAAGCAGGGUCGGCCCUGGUAAGUACUUGGAUGGGAGAAAUGAAGGAGAGAAAAAGACCUUCUCAGAAAAACAAAAAUUGAGGAAA